rnacentral:rRNA from 1 species
CACGUAGGGCGCAAGCGUUGUCCGGAAUUAUUGGGCGUAAAGAGCUCGUAGGUGGUUUGUUACGUCUGCUGUGAAAACCUAGGGCUUAACCCCGGGUCGCAGUGGAUACGGGCAGGCUAGAGGUAGGUAGGGGAGAAUGGAAUUCCCGGUGUAGCGGUGAAAUGCGCAGAUAUCGGGAGGAACACCGGUGGCGAAGGCGGUUCUCUGGGCCUUACCUGACGCUGAGGAGCGAAAGCGUGGGGAGCGAACAGG